GAUGAAGAACGUAGCGAAAUGCGAUAAGUAAUGUGAAUUGCAGAAUUCAGUGAAUCAUCGAAUCUUUGAACGCACAUUGCGCCCCCCAGUAUUCUGGCGGGCAUGCCUGUUCGAGCGUCAUUUCAACCAUCAAGCCCUGCUUGUGUUGGGGUCCUGCGGCUGCCCGCAGGCCCUGAAAACCAGUGGCGGGCUCGCUAGUCACACCGAGCGCAGUAAUUAUUCCUCUCUCCGGGCGUGGCGGCGGGUUCCGGCCGUAAAACUACCAAUUUAUCAAGGUUGACCUCGGAUCAGGUAGGAAUACCCGCUGAACUUAAGCAUAUCAAUAAGCGGAGGA
rnacentral:misc_RNA from 1 species